rnacentral:rRNA from 1 species
AUUGAACGCUGGCGGCAGGCCUAACACAUGCAAGUCGAGCGGCAGCGGAAAGUAGCUUGCUACUUUGCCGGCGAGCGGCGGACGGGUGAGUAAUGUCUGGGAAACUGCCUGAUGGAGGGGGAUAACUACUGGAAACGGUAGCUAAUACCGCAUGACCUCGAAAGAGCAAAGUGGGGGAUCUUCGGACCUCACGCCAUCGGAUGUGCCCAGAUGGGAUUAGCUAGUAGGUGAGGUAAUGGCUCACCUAGGCGACGAUCCCUAGCUGGUCUGAGAGGAUGACCAGCCACACUGGAACUGAGACACGGUCCAGACUCCUACGGGAGGCAGCAGUGGGGAAUAUUGCACAAUGGGCGCAAGCCUGAUGCAGCCAUGCCGCGUGUGUGAAGAAGGCCUUAGGGUUGUAAAGCACUUUCAGCGAGGAGGAAGGCACCAUACUUAAUACGUGUGGUGAUUGACGUUACUCGCAGAAGAAGCACCGGCUAACUCCGUGCCAGCAGCCGCGGUAAUACGGAGGGUGCAAGCGUUAAUCGGAAUUACUGGGCGUAAAGCGCACGCAGGCGGUUUGUUAAGUCAGAUGUGAAAUCCCCGCGCUUAACGUGGGAACUGCAUUUGAAACUGGCAAGCUAGAGUCUUGUAGAGGGGGGUAGAAUUCCAGGUGUAGCGGUGAAAUGCGUAGAGAUCUGGAGGAACACCGGUGGCGAAGGCGGCCCCCUGGACAAAGACUGACGCUCAGUGCGAAAGCGUGGGGAGCAAACAGG